UGACUUAAUGCUUUCAUAUUCAUGUUAAUGCUUUGAAAAUUAUCUUAUUUCUUUCAGAAUCUUUUGAUAAUAUUGCCCAAUGCAACAAAUGGAAAAAGCAUGCUUUAUGACAACCUCAGCAGCAGAACCCAUGACUUUCUCCUGGGUAGACGAGACAAAAAAGUUUGGUAUCAACACCCAUCUAACAAUUAAGAAAGUUAUCUGCAGCCACACAUCCACUGUAUACCAAGUUAUGAUGAACAAUUAUGAAAAUGCAAAAGGAUUGAUAGAUCAGUAAACAAGCAACAAAAAGCUUUACAAAAAAUGUAGAAUUUGUAGGAGCGCAUGGACAUCUGAGUAACAAAGUCAUAUUAUGCAGAUGGGUGCUCAUGGUGGCCUCCAAAUAAAUACAUGGACAGGCUGCUGAAGAGGGUCAGGAUGAUGGAGAUGCAAGAGCCAAAGACAGCACAGACCAAACACCAGGCCAGAAUA